UACGUAGGGUGCAAGCGUUAAUCGGAAUUACUGGGCGUAAAGCGUGCGCAGGCGGUUUUGUAAGUCAGAUGUGAAAUCCCCGGGCUUAACCUGGGAACUGCGUUUGAAACUACAAGGCUAGAGUGUAGCAGAGGGGGGUGGAAUUCCACGUGUAGCAGUGGAAAUGCGUAGAGAUGCGGAGGAACACCGAUGGCGAAGGCAGCCCCCUGGGCUAACACUGACGCCUGAGGCACGAAAGCGUGGGGAGCAAACAGG
rnacentral:rRNA from 1 species